rnacentral:rRNA from 1 species
AGAGGCCGCUGCUAUCCGGCUGGGACUAAGCCAUGCGAGUCAAGGGGUCUGUUCCUCUUUGAGGAACAGGCACCGGCAGACGGCUCAGUAACACGUGGACAACCUGCCCUCGGGAGGGGGAUAACCCUGGGAAACUGGGGCUAAACCCCCAUAGGCCAUGGUUACUGGAAUGUGCCAUGGCCGAAAGUUUGCUGUUCCCGUAAGGGGCAGCAAAGCCCGAGGAUGGGUCUGCGGCGGAUUAGGUAGUUGGUGGGGUAACGGCCCGCCAAGCCUAAGAUCCGUACGGGCCAUGAGAGUGGGAGCCCGGAGAUGGACCCUGAGACAAGGGUCCAGGCCCUACGGGGCGCAGCAGGCGCGAAACCUCCGCAAUGCGGGAAACCGCGGCGGGGCUAGCCGGAGUGCCCGUGCAUUGCGCGGGCUGUCCGGGUGUGUAAAAAGCACCCGAUAGC